AAUGGUCUGCACAGAACCUUUUCCAAAAGAUGUCGUGCCCAUUAUAAUAGCUCUUUCAUGGUCUUGUAGCGCUCCUGCUACAAUUUCAGAAGCAGAGGCUGAACCUCCAUUUAUCAAUACUACUAUAGGAAGUCCAUUAGAAAUAUCUCCUUUAGUUGCGUUAAAUUUUUGUUGACCUCUUUUUUUUCUUCCUCUUGUAGAAACUAUUUCUCCCCUUUCAAGAAAAGCGUCUGAAACUGCAACAGCCUGGUUUAAAAGUCCUCCAGGGUUAUUUC
rnacentral:ncRNA from 1 species